AGCUGAUUCACAGGGGAUAAAAAGGGGGCGGGGGUGUUGGGCAGCUUUUUAUUUUCCAAGCUUUGCUAACUUCUUGUUCUGGAAUGAGAAAGAGUGUUCUGCCAAGAGAAAGGAGCUGCAAAAUGAUAAAAACAGCAAACAAUGAAGAGCAGCAAAGAAGCUUGAAGUAGUGAAGUUACAU
rnacentral:lncRNA from 11 species